ACGAACGCUGGCGGCAUGCCUAACACAUGCAAGUCGAACGAGACCUUCGGGUCUAGUGGCGCACGGGUGCGUAACGCGUGGGAACCUGCCCUUAGGUUCGGAAUAACUCCCCGAAAGGGGUGCUAAUACCGGAUAAUGUCUUCGGACCAAAGAUUUAUCGCCUUUGGAUGGGCCCGCGUUGGAUUAGCUAGUUGGUAGGGUAAAAGCCUACCAAGGCGACGAUCCAUAGCUGGUCUGAGAGGAUGAUCAGCCACACUGGGACUGAGACACGGCCCAGACUCCUACGGGAGGCAGCAGUGGGGAAUAUUGGACAAUGGGCGAAAGCCUGAUCCAGCAAGGCCGCGGGAGUGAUGAAGGCCUUAGGGUUGUAAAGCUCUUUUACCCGGGAUGAUAAUGACAGUACCGGGAGAAUAAGCUCCGGCUAACUCCGU
rnacentral:rRNA from 1 species